UACAAAUCACCUUGCUGUGUAAUGGAGGGAGGUGGCCCGUGGAACCUGCAUGAGGUAGGGUUUUUUUUUUUUAUUCCAUUCUGAUUUGUUGCUGAUUUCCUAGCUUCCUGGUCUCAGCGGGACGCCCGGCAGUGUGGGCGGUAGCCUGGCAGCUGGGCACCAGCCCGUGUAAAUUACAGAGGCAGCUCUCUGGGCCCGCUAACCUGGCCCCGCAGCAGGCUCGGCGUCCUGUGCCUUCCAGGGAAUUCUGCUGCCCACUGCUGGGACUUUCCAGCCUUCCUCUUGCCUGCCUUCCUGCGCUGCGUGCUCUAUUUGACCCUGGAAGUGCAAGUCAGCGAAGACCGCCUCGACCUUCCAAAGAAGAGCUAGUGAUUCUAACUCUAUGCUUGGGUGGAGCUUGGGGGGUACUUGUGGCUUGCGAGACACGUUUUUGUGUUGAGAAGUACCAAUCCCAACCUAUUCUACAAACGAGCCAAGAGCUUAUUAGCUUCUGAUGCCUUAAAGCAAUGAACUUUUACAAGGAUGAACACCAAGGUCUGAGGUCUCGUUGUGUCCUAAAAUUGGAUAUCGACAAACCAGUUCAGUUUUAAUACUAUUUUGAGCUGUAAUAUAUUUUGAACUUUUUCUCUAGACGUUUCAGUCCGAUUUGCGGGGGGGGCGGGGGGGAGGAUUUAAAAAAAUCAAACACCAUUUUAAAGUUAGUCUGAAAGCAUAUGCUGUCUCACAAAUGCUGACAAACAGGCCUUGGUUUCCUCCUUGGGGAAAUGAUGGUCUCCAAAUUCCCUUCUGGCUCCAACAGGUUAGGUAUUUUCUUUAUGUGGAUAUUGAAGACCUCCCCUACUUAGGAGACCUAGUUUCAGGAUCACUCACAAUACCUACAGCGGCUCUGUACAUUAGAAAUUAAAAAAUCUAGAAGGGAAAAGUCCUUUGGAGGAAACGCUUCACAGAGGAAGCAAGCUUCAUUGCUGGGACCCAGACCACCUAAGGCAAUGAAUAGCUCAGGGAAACAGUCGGGGAAAGAAAGAUCUUUGACAAAACAGCAGGAGGGAAGACUGUGGCAUUUUGUCUCAUCAGGAAAAAAACAUGCCGAAACCUGAUUAAAGUUUCUGGAUAACAUUUGUGAGAGUCCCACUCCACAACUCCUUAGAAAAUGCUUUUUCUUUGAUCCACUCAGAUGCAUUUGUUAGAAUGGAAAGCAAUUGCAGCUAAUCGUUAUCGGGACUCUUUGAGAGAGAAAAAAUGGCCAUGAAAACAAGUACAAUGGACUUAGUUGCAGUUUCUUCUUAUUUCUCCCUUUCCCCUGUCCUUCCAUGGCAGAGCACAUAGCCACUCCUUGAAAAUGAUCAGGUUGUGCCAGGAAAAGCGUUUGCUGUCAUAGAAUCUGGUCUCCUACUGGUGGGGGAGGGGGAGUGACAUAGAUGAGGUUGAUGUUUGGCGACUUCCAGCUUCUUCCAUUUUCCCUAGUGGGCACUCACUCCUCCUCUGGCGUCCUUGUCUGGUGUCUUACCCUCAGACCUUUCCCAGCCCUGGAUCUCAAAAACCCGUUCACUCUGCUGUACAGGCACUUGCUUACCUUCUCUCACGUGGCACCCACAGUGGAUUUACAUUUUAGGGUGAGGAAUCCCUUUAAGAAUGACUUUCUCCCACCUGCCCCAAAAGCAAUCAUUUAAGCUAUUUUUAAAAAUGCAGCACCCAGGGGUGCCUGGGUGGCCCGGUCAGUUAAGCGUCGGAUUCUUGAUCUCGGCUCAUGAGCUCAUAGUUCAUGAGUUUGAGCCCGGCAUGGGACUCUGUGCUGACAGUGCGGGGCCUACUUGGGAUUCUCUCUCUCUCUCCCUCUCUCUCUGCCCCUCCCCCGCAUGUGCUCUCUCCCUCUCUCUUUCUCUCAAAAUACAUAAAAAGAAACUUUAAGGGGCUCCUGGGUGGCGCAGUCGGUUAAGCGUCCGACUUCAGCCGGGUCACGAUCUCGCGGUCCGUGAGUUCGAGCCCCGCGUCGGGCUCUGGGCUGAUGGCUCGGAGCCUGGAGCCUGUUUCCGAUUCUGUGUCUCCCUCUCUCUCUGCCCCUCCCCCGUUCAUGCUCUGUCUCUCUCUGUCCCAAAAAUAAAUAAACGUUGAAAAAAAAAAAAAUGCAAAAACACAAAGCAUAAAGAAUAAAACAAAUCAUACCCAAAAUUUCAAAUUUUUUUGGCCCAGAAAUGACCAUGAUUAAUAUACUGGCCAGUUAUUUAUAUAUAUUAUACAUUAUUUAUAUAUAUUUCUGUAUAAUGUUAUAUACAUAAGUAUAUGUAAGUUAUAUAUAUAAGUAGUAUAUAUAUAUAACUUAUAGUAUAUAUACACUACUUAUAGUAGUAUAUAUAUAUAGCUUAUAGUUCUAUAUGCUUAUAUAUACUAAUCAUAGUAUAUAUAUAUAUAACUUAUAUAUAUAUAACUUGUAUAUAUAUGUACUAUAUAUAUACAUAAGUAUAUAUAAGCUAUAUAUAAUGUUAUAUACAUAAGUAUACAUAAAUACAUAUAGACAGGUGGACGUAGGUAUAUAUGAGACAGAUAAAAAGAUAGAUGAGAUAGAUGAUAAAGAUAUAUAUAUAUAUAUAUAUAUAGGUAAUAGAUGGUAGGUAAAUAUAGAUGACAGAUAGAUGAUAGAGCUAGAUAAUUCUUUAAAAAUACUAAGACUUUCUAGCAGUGUGGAGAAUACAGAGAGCAUCCUUUGGACAUCUGUAAUAAUGAGCCUAAUUGAUGUGUAUGAACCCACAAAUGGUCCUGCUCAAAGAACCUGCGUGCUUCACUGGACCUGUGUUACCUCCCUUACCCCAGAGAACAUGCGUAUAGCGCUCCAUUGCCCCAUUCCUUUACCGUCCGUCCUACACUCCCGGCCCUCCUUCCAGGUCUUUCCAACCCCACUGGCCACACCAACAUGGAAGCCAGAGAGUUCAGGAGCCCAUUGAUACAACAGAUGAAAGUCACCUCCUCCUGGGGCUGGAACAGGGGGUAAAAUGGAUCUGGCAGAGCAGAGUCUGUCCUGCAAAUGGGGAAACAUGAGCCUUAGGAGCUUAUCAUCUUAAUGAGACGAGACCCGCACACACUCUUUAGCAUGCAAAUUUGCACUGUGUUCUGCUGAAGUAGCAGAUAUUUUGCUACACGUUCACCAGGUUCAUUUUCGGUUCUUGGCUAUGCGUUCCCCUUCCUGUCUCAGCAUCCCUGGUGUCUCUACCUAUAACACGCAUCCCCUUCACCCUUCAGCUAUCAGCUGGAACACAUCUUAAGGAUGCCUUCUGUGUCCCUCCCCCACCCCUAUUUUGAUCAAGUCUCCUGGCACAGAUUCUCUGGAGUCCCCAGCUAUCUUCCUUACAGACUCUAUGAGGGUUUGUAACAUUAAAGGUAUGAGCUUACGCUAUGCCCCCCCCCCUUAGACUAUAAGCACUCCAAAGAGCCCAAGGCCAUCGCUCAGUAGUGCCCGUGGACAUCUAGCAUAUCACUUGGUGCAAGGAGAUGUCCAGUAAAGACGUGUUGACGAGCUAAGGGACCCAGGGAAGAAGGGACCUGGGCAUUCCCGUCAGAGAGCACCUCACAAAAAGGCCGAGUCAAGAGAGGGCACUGUGUGUUGUAAACUGCUCGUGUUUCAGCCUGAAUGAAGCAUGGGCUUGGCCUGGGGAAGUCACUGGAGGGGAGCUAGAAGGAACACAAGAAAUGACGACAGAGAUGAAAGCCAGGAGCCAGAUCCCGAGGGCCUCGUGUGAUUUUUCUUGAGAGUUUGUACUUUUAUCGGACAUCUGUGGAGAUCAACAGGCAAAUGCUUGGCUUUUUAAGGAAGAUUUCUCCAAGAGAAGGACUUCUCAGCAGCGUCGAGACUGGAGGGCGGGAUUCCAGCUCAGUGACCGAUUCCUGUUAGCACAGAACCAUUGUGGCAAUAAAUAAUCAGCUAGAAAUUACGGGGAGGGUGGAUUUUGAAAUGGGUCCUGAGGAAUUGAAUGGGGGCAGGAGCCUGAUAGGUUGGAUCACAGGGGAAAUUCCCAGUGUGGCGGUCACAACGGGCAGCCAAUAAAUGUUGAGUACAUAACUGUGACCAAAUCUUUAUUUAUAUACUUGUUUUAGCCCCCAAGAAAGUGUUUCUCUUAAUCAACUAACUUAUUUUUAAUGUUUAUUUCUUUUUUGAGAGACAGCAUGAGAAGGGGAGGGGCAGAGAAAGAGAGGGAGACACAGAGCACAGAACCGGAAGCAGGCUCCAGGCUCCAAGCUGUCAGCACAGAGCCCGGCGCGGGGCUCGAACUCACAAACUGUGAGAUGGUGACCUGAGCCGAAGUCAGACACUGAACCGCUUAACCGACUGAGCCACCCAGGCGCCCCUAAUGGAUGAACUUAAGGAAGUUUCCUAGAAGCCGGAGUGUGAUUUUAGUAGCCUCAGAACUUGCCUCAGGCUCCUGUAUUGCUUUAGUCUCUAUUUAACCACGUACCCCUGUCUUUUCUUUAGGGGACUCACUGUUCCUGAGAACGAAGUUACCAGAUAAGAUGCCAUUCUCCUUUUUUUUCUUCAUGUUCUCACCUAACGCUUCUGUUACCAUCAGCUCUCUCCCUCUCAAGACCUGCAUCAGACAUUUUGCAUCUAGGAAUUUUCCUGAAGACCCAAAAAGAUCAACUUCGGUCAGAAACAGCCUCGAAAAAGCCCUUGUUCAUCAGAAGGCGGGAGGCAAGGACCAAAGGAAUAUCUACCGUGGGCCAGACUUUCGACGUACAGGCUGUCCCUUCCUUCAUGAAUGCUAGGAGACACGUCCACAUGGUAAUCACUGCAGGGGUACAAUUCCUUGUGACAGCUUCCUGCCCGAUGGCAGCACAGUGUUUUGGGGAUGAAACACCUUGAUCAUUGUCAACGGCACUCAUACGGGCGCUGAAUGCCUCCAGGAUGAAGUGUGUGCUUAUGACCUGUGUGGGGUCCUGGGAAGAGGUGCUUUCUGACCCAAGUGUUGACAAUUCAGACCAGAGGCUGUUGCAAUGGAUGUCUAUAAUGUCUGUCUGCCCUUUUUUCAAAAAACAGCUCCCAAGGCUUCCUCUAGGCAAAAACUCCUUCUUAUGCUCAUGCCGUGAAAUCUCAGUACAGCUAAACUCACCUUUGGCUUUCGAUGUCAGAGUAAU
rnacentral:lncRNA from 1 species